rnacentral:rRNA from 1 species
AUUGAACGCUGGCGGCAGGCCUAACACAUGCAAGUCGAACGAGUGGCGGACGGGUGAGUAAUGUCUGGGAAACUGCCCGAUGGAGGGGGAUAACUACUGGAAACAGUAGCUAAUACCGCAUACCUUCGGAUGUGCCCAGAUGGGAUUAGCUAGUAGGUGGGAUAACGGCGCACCUAGGCGACGAUCCCUAGCUGGUCUGAGCGGAUGACUGUCCACACUGAAACUGAGACACGGUCCAGAAUCCUACGGAAGGGAGCAGUGGGGAAUAUUGCACAAUGAGCGCAAGCCUGAUACAGCCAUGCCGGGUGUAUGAAGAAGGCCUUCGAGUUGUAAAGUACUUUAAUCGGGGAGGCGUUACUCGCAGAAGAAGCACCGGCUAACUCCGUGCCAGCCGCCGCGGUAAUAC